UCAGUAACACGUAGUCAACAUGCCCAAAGGACGUGGAUAACCUCGGGAAACUGAGGAUAAACCGCGAUAGGCCAAGGUUUCUGGGAAUGAGCCAUGGCCGAAAUCUAUACGGCCUUUGGAUUGGACUGCGGCCGAUCAGGCUGUUGGUGAGGUAAUGGCCCACCAAACCUGUAACCGGUACGGGCUUUGAGAGAAGGAGCCCGGAGAUGGGCACUGAGACAAGGGCCCAGGCCCUAUGGGGCGCAGAAGGCGCGAAACCUCUGCAAUAGGCGAAAGCUUGACAGGGUUACUCUGAGUGAUGCCCGCUAAGGGUAUCUUUUGGCACCUCUAAAAAUGGUGCAGAAUAAGGGGUGGGCAANGUCUGGUG
rnacentral:rRNA from 1 species